rnacentral:rRNA from 1 species
AACGAGCGCUGGCGGCAGGCCUAACACAUGCAAGUCGAACGAACCGUUUACGGUGAGUGGCGCACGGGUGAGUAACACGUGGAAUAUACAUUUCGGUAAGGAAUAACGUAGAGAAAUUUACGCUAAUACCUUAUAAUGACUACGGUCCAAAGAUUUAUCGCCGAAGGAUUAGCCCGCGUUAGAUUAGGUAGUUGGUAGGGUAAUGGCCUACCAAGCCUACGAUCUAUAGCUGGUCUUAGAGGAUGAUCAGCCACACUGGAACUGAGACACGGUCCAGACUCCUACGGGAGGCAGCAGUGAGGAAUAUUGCGCAAUGGGGGAAACCCUGACGCAGCCAUGCCGCGUGAGUGACGAAGGCCUUAGGGUUGUAAAGCUCUUUCAGAUGUAAAGAUAAUGACGGUAACAUCAGAAGAAGCUCCGGCUAAAUUCGUGCCAGCCGCCGCCGUAA